UACGAAGGGGGCUAGCGUUGCUCGGAAUCACUGGGCGUAAAGCGCACGUAGGCGGCUUUCUAAGUCAGGGGUGAAAUCCUGGAGCUCAACUCCAGAACUGCCUUUGAUACUGGAGAGCUCGAGUUCGGAAGAGGUGAGUGGAACUCCGAGUGUAGAGGUGAAAUUCGUAGAUAUUCGGAAGAACACCAGUGGCGAAGGCGGCUCACUGGUCCGGUACUGACGCUGAUGUGCGAAAGCGUGGGGAGCAAACAGG
rnacentral:rRNA from 1 species